rnacentral:SRP_RNA from 1 species
GCUGGGGCAGUGAGCCAUACCUGUAGUCUCGGCUACUGGGAAGGAUGAGUGUGAUGGGUCACUUGAGCUCAGGAAUUCUGAGCUACAGUGAGCUAAACCAAUUGAGUGUCUUCACUAAGCCCCUUACCAAUAUGAUGGGACCCUGCAAGCAGGCGGCCACCAGGCUGCCUAAGGAGGGGAGAGCUGAUCCAGAUUAGAAAAUAGAGCAGGUCAAUGUUCCUGUGUUGAUCAGUAGUGGGAUCAGGUCUAUGAAUAGUUAGUGUACUUGCAGCUUUGGAAAGAUAGGGUACCCCAAUUU